AUGGAGGGCCAGGCCUGUGAAACAGAGGCAGGUCUAGACUGUGGAGCAGAGACAGACAGUGGAGCAGAGGGGGACCUGGGCCAUGGAGCAGUGACAGACAAUGGAGUAGAGGGGGACCUGGGCCGAGGAGCAGUGGCAGACAAUGGAGCAGAGGGGGACCUGGACCUUGGAGUAUUGAAAGACAAUGGAGCAGAGGGGGACCUAGGCGGUGGAGCAUUGACAGACAGUGGAGCAGAGGGGGACCUGGGCCGUGGAGCAGUUGUGGACAGUGAUACACUGGAGGACCUGGGCUGUGGAGCAGUGACAGACAAUGGAGAAAAGGGGGACCUGGGACGUGGUGCAGUGGUGGACAGUGAUACACUGGAGGACCUGGGCCGUGGAGCAGUGGCAGACAAUGGAGCAGGGGGGGACCUGGGCCGUGGAGCAUUGACAGACAAUGGAGUAGAGGGGGACCUGGGCCGUGGAGCAGUGGUGGACAGUGAUACACUGGAGGUCCUGGGCCGUGGAGUAGUGACAGACAAUGAAGCAGAGGGGGACCUGGGCCAUGGAGCAGUGGCAGUCAAUGGAGCAGAGGGGUCCUGGGCCGUGGAGCAGAUCCAGGGCAGUAUGGAGACAUGGUGGAGCAGGCCUAGCGGGGUGGCCAGGCGGUGCCCACAGAGGAGGAAGCCAUGGCGGAGCAGAGACAUGGACAGACCAAUUGGCCAUGACGGGACAGACAGUAAGUUCAUGAGCGGCCUCCGUGGCUGUGACAGGACAGACAGGGAGUUCAUGAAUGGCCUCCGUGGCCGUGAUAGGACAGACAUGAAGUUCAUGAACUGCCUCCUUGGCCGUGGCAAGACAGACAGGGAGUUCAUGAACGGCCUUCUUGGCUGUGGCAAGACAGACAGUGAGUUCAUGAGCUGCCUCCAUUGCCAUGGCAGGACAGACAGUGAGUUCGUGAGCGGCCUCCUUGGCCAUGGCAAGACAGACAGUGAGUUCAUGAGCGGCCUCCAUGGCUGUGGCAGGACAGACAGGGAGUUCAUGAACGGCCUCCAUGGCUGUGGCAGGUCAGACAGUGAGUUCAUGAGUGGCCUCCGUGGCCAUGACAGGACAGACAGGGAGUUCAUGAACGGCCUUCUUGGCUGUGGCAAGACAGACAGUGAGUUCAUGAGCUGCCUGCAUUGCCAUGACAGGACAGACAGGGUGUUCAUGAAUGGCCUCCUUGGCCGUGGCAAGACAGACAGUGAGUUCAUGAGCGGCCUCCAUUGCCAUGACAGGACAGACAGGGUGUUCAUGAAUGGCCUCCAUGGCCGUGGCAGGACAGACAGUGAUUUCAUGAGUGGACUCCGUGGCCGUAGGGGGCAUCCUCAUGAUCGGCCCCUGUGGCCGUGA
ensembl:lncRNA